rnacentral:RNase_P_RNA from 2 species
UCAGAUGGCCGGACGGCCGCUCCGCUCCGAAAGGGGCGGGGAGGAAAGUCCGGGCUCCAUGGAAACACGGUGCCGGGUAACGCCCGGCGGGGGCGACCCUAGGGAAAGUGCCACAGAAAGCAAACCGCCCCGCAUAGCCUUCGGGCGACGCGGGGUAAGGGUGAAAGGGUGCGGUAAGAGCGCACCGCGCGCCUGGCAACAGGGGCGGCACGGUAAACCCCACCGGGAGCAAGACCUAAUAGGGAUGGGGCUCUUCAAUGAGCAAGCCCGUUUUCAGGCUCCAUCCGGGUUGGUCGCGCGAGGCAUCCGGCAACGGGUGUCCCAGAUGAAUGGCCGUCGCCGGCUUGCCGGCACAGAACCCGGCUUACAGGCCAUCUGACGCC